rnacentral:rRNA from 1 species
GACGAACGCUGGCGGCGUGCCUAAUACAUGCAAGUCGAGCGAAUGGAAGGGAGCUUGCUCCCUGAAGUUAGCGGCGGACGGGUGAGUAACACGUGGGCAACCUGCCUGUAAGACUGGGAUAACUUCGGGAAACCGGAGCUAAUACCGGAUACGUUCUUUUCUCGCAUGAGGAAAGAUGGAAAGAUGGUUUCGGCUAUCACUUACAGAUGGGCCCGCGGCGCAUUAGCUAGUUGGUGGGGUAAUGGCCCACCAAGGCGACGAUGCGUAGCCGACCUGAGAGGGUGAUCGGCCACACUGGGCCUGAGACACGGCCCAGACUCCUACGGGAGGCAGCAGUAGGGAAUCUUCCGCAAUGGACGAAAGUCUGACGGAGCAACGCCGCGUGAGCGAAGAAGGCUUUCGGGUCGUAAAGCUCUGUUGUCAGGGAAGAACAAGUGCCAGAGUAACUGCUGGCACCUUGACGGUACCUGACCAGAAAGCCACGGCUAACUACGUGCCAGCAGCCGCGGUAAGAC